rnacentral:rRNA from 1 species
UACAGAGGUGGCAAGCGUUGUUCGGAAUUACUGGGCGUAAAGGGCGCGUAGGCGGCCUAUAAGUCAGACGUGAAAUCCCCCGGCUUAACCUGGGAACUGCGUCUGAUACUGGAAGGCUUGAGUAUGGGAGAGGGAUGUAGAAUUCCAGGUGUAGCGGUGAAAUUCGUAGAUAUUGGGAAGAACACCGAUGGCGAAGGCAGCCAUCUGGACCGACACUGACGCUGAGGCGCGAAAGCGUGGGGAUCAAACAGG